GAGUUACUCCCUCCGUCCGGAAAUACUUGUCAUCAAAAUGGAUAAAAGGGGAUGCAUCUAGACGUAUUUUAGUUCUAGAUACAUCUCUUUUUAUCCAUUUUGAUGACAAGUAUUUUCAGACGGAGGGAGUAGAUA
rnacentral:pre_miRNA from 1 species